rnacentral:rRNA from 1 species
UACGUAGGGACCAAGCGUUGUUCGGAUUUACUGGGCGUAAAGGCGCGUAGGCGGCGUGACAAGUCACUUGUGAAAUCUCUGAGCUUAACUCAGAACGGCCAAGUGAAACUGUUGUGCUAGAGUGCAGAAGGGGCAAUCGGAAUUCUUGGUGUAGCGGUGAAAUGCGUAGAUAUCAAGAGGAACACCUGAGGUGAAGACGGGUUGCUGGGCUGACACUGACGCUGAGGCGCGAAAGCCAGGGGAGCAAACGGG